UAGUGAGUUUGAUCCUGGCUCAGAACGUAACGACUGGCGGCGAAGGCUUAACUACAUGCAAGUCGAACGGGCGUAGCAAUACGGUCUAGUGGCAGACGGGUGAGUAACGACGUGGGAACGUCCCCCUCGGUUCGGAAUAACUCAGGGAAACUUGAGCUAAUACCGGAUACGUCCGAGAGGAGAAAGAUUUAUCGCCGAGGGAUCGGCCCGCGUCUGAUUAGCUAGUUGGUGAGGUAACGGCUCACCAAGGCGACGAUCAGUAGCUGGUCUGAGAGGAUGAUCAGCCACACUGGGACUGAGACACGGCCCAGACUCCGUACGGGGAGGCAGCAGUGGGGAAUAUUGGACAAUGGGCGCAAGCCUGAUCCAGCCAUGCCGCGUGAGUGAU
rnacentral:rRNA from 2 species